rnacentral:lncRNA from 13 species
AUAACUUCAAAGUUAAAACCGCACUGCCUCUUUCCUGUGCGGAUUUCCCUCUCUGAGAUCCCCUCCCGUAACAAUGUGGGAGCUGUUUUUCCUUCUGUAGCAGUGGGAAUAGCUCCUUCCAGUUCCCCUUUCCUUCCCACGGCAGCGUGGGAGCUAUUUCUCUUUCUCUCUCUGCCUGACGAAUCGCUUUCUGGUAAACUCUUUGCAUCUGAUAAUUACUUGACUGUUAACUCACCAGGCCGCCAGGGCCCCUUCCCCAUUCUUGGGGCAAAGAGAGAGGCCAAGAACCUCAGGCACAUCAAAUGGCAGGGAGCUGCGCCCCGAACUGUCCGGACCCAGUUACAGAUAUGGGGUUUCACCAUGUUGACCAAGGAUGGUCUUGAUCUCUUGAGCUCACGAACUGCCUGCCUCAGCGUCCAAAGUGCUGGUACUAGAGACAUGAGCCACCAAGCCCAGCCAUUAUCAUUCUUUUAAUACCAAAUUCAAGGAGCAAUGGGAUCUGAUUACUUGGAACAAAGCAAUGCCGUUUUCUGGAAAAUCAGUUGCCAUGUUGCUUUGAUAGGACAACCUUCUCUUCAACCUCUUGAGAUUUUUCAGUGAUGUUAAAAUAUGCCUACAGAUGUCAGAAGCAUGUGUACAAAUUAGUUAGCAGAGAAAAUAUUUGGAGGAAAUAAAAUAAGGUGCCUAUUAUAAAUUAACA